rnacentral:rRNA from 1 species
GGUUAAGCGACUAAGCGUACACGGUGGAUGCCCUGGCAGUCAGAGGCGAUGAAGGACGUGCUAAUCUGCGAAAAGCGUCGGUAAGGUGAUAUGAACCGUUAUAACCGGCGAUGUCCGAAUGGGGAAACCCAGUGUGAUUCGUCACACUAUCGUUAACUGAAUACAUAGGUUAACGAGGCGAACCGGGGGAACUGAAACAUCUAAGUACCCCGAGGAAAAGAAAUCAACCGAGAUUCCCCCAGUAGCGGCGAGCGAACGGGGAGCAGCCCAGAGUCUGAAUCAGCUUGUGUGUUAGUGGAACGGUCUGGAAAGUCCGACGGUACAGGGUGAUAGUCCCGUACACCAAAAUGCACAGGUUGUGAACUCGAAGAGUAGGGCGGGACACGUGGUAUCCUGUCUGAAUAUGGGGGGACCAUCCUCCAAGGCUAAAUACUCCUGACUGACCGAUAGUGAACCAGUACCGUGAGGGAAAGGCGAAAAGAACCCCGGCGAGGGGAGUGAAAAAGAACCUGAAACCGUGUACGUACAAGCAGUGGGAGCACCUUCGGGUGUGACUGCGUACCUUUUGUAUAAUGGGUCAGCGACUUAUAUUCUGUAGCAAGGUUAACCGUAUAGGGGAGCCGCAGGGAAACCGAGUCUUAACUGGGCGUUAAGUUGCAGGGUAUAGACCCGAAACCCGGUGAUCUAGCCAUGGGCAGGUUGAAGGUUGGGUAACACUAACUGGAGGACCGAACCGACUAAUGUUGAAAAAUUAGCGGAUGACUUGUGGCUGGGGGUGAAAGGCCAAUCAAACCGGGAGAUAGCUGGUUCUCCCCGAAAGCUAUUUAGGUAGCGCCUCGUGAACUCAUCUUCGGGGGUAGAGCACUGUUUCGGCUAGGGGGUCAUCCCGACUUACCAACCCGAUGCAAACUACGAAUACCGAAGAAUGUUAUCACGGGAGACACACGGCGGGUGCUAACGUCCGUCGUGAAGAGGGAAACAACCCAGACCGCCAGCUAAGGUCCCAAAGUCAUGGUUAAGUGGGAAACGAUGUGGGAAGGCACAGACAGCCAGGAUGUUGGCUUAGAAGCAGCCAUCAUUUAAAGAAAGCGUAAUAGCUCACUGGUCGAGUCGGCCUGCGCGGAAGAUGUAACGGGGCUAAACCAUGCACCGAAGCUGCGGCAGCGACACUAUGUGUUGUUGGGUAGGGGAGCGUUCUGUAAGCCUGCGAAGGUGACCUGUGAGGGUUGCUGGAGGUAUCAGAAGUGCGAAUGCUGACAUAAGUAACGAUAAAGCGGGUGAAAAGCCCGCUCGCCGGAAGACCAAGGGUUCCUGUCCAACGUUAAUCGGGGCAGGGUGAGUCGACCCCUAAGGCGAGGCCGAAAGGCGUAGUCGAUGGGAAACAGGUUAAUAUUCCUGUACUUGGUGUUACUGCGAAGGGGGACGGAGAAGGCUAUGUUAGCCGGGCGACGGUUGUCCCGGUUUAAGCAUGUAGGCUGGUUGUCCAGGCAAAUCCGGAUAAUCAAGGCUGAGGUGUGAUGACGAGGCACUACGGUGCUGAAGUAACAAAUGCCCUGCUUCCAGGAAAAGCCUCUAAGCAUCAGGUAACAUCAAAUCGUACCCCAAACCGACACAGGUGGUCAGGUAGAGAAUACCAAGGCGCUUGAGAGAACUCGGGUGAAGGAACUAGGCAAAAUGGUGCCGUAACUUCGGGAGAAGGCACGCUGGUGUGUAGGUGAAGUCCCUGCGGAUGGAGCUGAGACCAGUCGAAGAUACCAGCUGGCUGCAACUGUUUAUUAAAAACACAGCACUGUGCAAACACGAAAGUGGACGUAUACGGUGUGACGCCUGCCCGGUGCCGGAAGGUUAAUUGAUGGGGUUAUCCGUAAGGAGAAGCUCUUGAUCGAAGCCCCGGUAAACGGCGGCCGUAACUAUAACGGUCCUAAGGUAGCGAAAUUCCUUGUCGGGUAAGUUCCGACCUGCACGAAUGGCGUAAUGAUGGCCAGGCUGUCUCCACCCGAGACUCAGUGAAAUUGAACUCGCUGUGAAGAUGCAGUGUACCCGCGGCAAGACGGAAAGACCCCGUGAACCUUUACUAUAGCUUGACACUGAACAUUGAGCCUUGAUGUGUAGGAUAGGUGGGAGGCUUUGAAGCGUGGACGCCAGUCUGCGUGGAGCCAACCUUGAAAUACCACCCUUUAAUGUUUGAUGUUCUAACGUUGGCCCCUUACCGGGGUUGCGGACAGUGUCUGGUGGGUAGUUUGACUGGGGCGGUCUCCUCCCAAAGCGUAACGGAGGAGCACGAAGGUUAGCUAAUCCUGGUCGGACAUCAGGAGGUUAGUGCAAUGGCAUAAGCUAGCUUGACUGCGAGCGUGACGGCGCGAGCAGGUGCGAAAGCAGGUCAUAGUGAUCCGGUGGUUCUGAAUGGAAGGGCCAUCGCUCAACGGAUAAAAGGUACUCCGGGGAUAACAGGCUGAUACCGCCCAAGAGUUCAUAUCGACGGCGGUGUUUGGCACCUCGAUGUCGGCUCAUCACAUCCUGGGGCUGAAGUAGGUCCCAAGGGUAUGGCUGUUCGCCAUUUAAAGUGGUACGCGAGCUGGGUUUAGAACGUCGUGAGACAGUUCGGUCCCUAUCUGCCGUGGGCGCUGGAGAAUUGAGGGGGGCUGCUCCUAGUACGAGAGGACCGGAGUGGACGCAUCACUGGUGUUCGGGUUGUCAUGCCAAUGGCACUGCCCGGUAGCUAAAUGCGGAAGAGAUAAGUGCUGAAAGCAUCUAAGCACGAAACUUGCCCCGAGAUGAGUUCUCCCUGAGACUUUAAGUCUCCUGAAGGAACGUUAAAGACGAUGACGUUGAUAGGCCGGGUGUGUAAGCGCAGCGAUGCGUUGAGCUAACCGGUACUAAUGAACCGUGAGGCUUAACCUU